rnacentral:rRNA from 1 species
GACGAACGCUGGCGGCGUGCUUAACACAUGCAAGUCGAACGGAAAGGCCCUGCUUUUGUGGGGUGCUCGAGUGGCGAACGGGUGAGUAACACGUGAGUAACCUGCCCUUGACUUUGGGAUAACUUCAGGAAACUGGGGCUAAUACCGGAUAGGAGCUCCUGCUGCAUGGUGGGGGUUGGAAAGUUUCGGCGGUUGGGGAUGGACUCGCGGCUUAUCAGCUUGUUGGUGGGGUAGUGGCUUACCAAGGCUUUGACGGGUAGCCGGCCUGAGAGGGUGACCGGCCACAUUGGGACUGAGAUGCGGCCCAGACUCCUACGGGAGGCAGCAGUGGGGAAUAUUGCACAAUGGGCGGAGGCCUGAUGCAGCAACGCCGCGUGCGGGAUGACGGCCUUCGGGUUGUAAACCGCUUUCGCCUGUGACGAAGCGUGAGUGACGGUAAUGGGUAAAGAAGCACCGGCUAACUACG